rnacentral:rRNA from 1 species
CUAGUCUUCGGAUUAGUUCCUAGCGGCGAACGGUCGCGUAACACGUAAGCAACCUGCCCCAAAGACCGGGACAACGUUCCGAAAGGAGCGCUAAUACCGGAUGUGGCCGCUUUGUUGCAUGACAGAGCGAUUAAACCGAGCAAUCGGCUUUGGGAGGGGCUUGCGGCCUAUCAGCUAGUUGGUGGGGUAACGGCCUACCAAGGCGACGACGGGUAGCUGGUCUGAGAGGAUGUCCAGCCGGACUGGGACUGAGAUACGGCCCAGACUCCUACGGGGGGCAGCAAUUAGGAAUCUUGCGCAAUGGGCGAAAGCCUGACGCAGCGACGCCGCGUGAGGGAGGAAGGCCUUCGGGUUGUAAACCUCUUUUAUCCGGGAAGAAUACAAUUGACGGUACCGGAUGAAUAAGCCACGGCUAACUCCGUGCCAGCAGCCGCGGUAAUACGGAGGUGGCGAGCGUUGUCCGAAGUUACUGGGCGUAAAGCGCGCGUAGGCGGGCUAUUAAGUGAGGGGUGAAAGGCUGAGGCUCAACCUCAUGUUGGUCCUCUCAUACUGAUAGUCUUGAGUGAGGCAGGGAGAAGUGGAAUGGCUGGUGUAGCGGUGAAAUGCGUAGAUAUCAGUCGGAACACCGGUGGCGAAGGCGGCUUCUUGGGCCUUAACUGACGCUGAGGCGCGAAAGCUGGGGGAGCGAACGGGAUUAGAUACCCCGGUAGUCCCAGCCGUAAACGAUGGAUACUAGGUGUCGGGGGUAUCGACCCCUCCGGUGCCGCAGCUAACGCAUUAAGUAUCCCGCCUGGGGAGUAC